rnacentral:rRNA from 1 species
UACGAAGGGGGCUAGCGUUGUUCGGAAUCACUGGGCGUAAAGCGCACGUAGGCGGAUUGUUAAGUCAGGGGUGAAAUCCUGGAGCUCAACUCCAGAACUGCCUUUGAUACUGGCGAUCUUGAGUCCGGGAGAGGUGAGUGGAACUGCGAGUGUAGAGGUGAAAUUCGUAGAUAUUCGCAAGAACACCAGUGGCGAAGGCGGCUCACUGGCCCGGUACUGACGCUGAGGUGCGAAAGCGUGGGAGCAAACAGG